ACACGAUCGUGACAAAGCCAGAGUGAAAGCAGCGGAGAUCAAUUCACAUGUUGACGAUUACAACUAUUCUUGAAGUAAUGUCUACCUCAGUUAACUUGCCAGAAGCCGAACAUUCCGGGUUGUUGAAGUUUCUCUCGGCUGCGUUCUACGCCGUCAGUUCAUUCUUGAUCAUUGUUGUUAACAAAACGAUUCUCACAAACUACAGAUUUCCCUCGUACAUGUUUCUAGGAAUUGGACAGAUGGCCACUACAAUCAUCAUUCUCUAUGCUGCUAAAAUUAACCAAACAGUUCACUUUCAAGACUUUGACAGAAGCAUUUUCAUCAAAAUCUUCCCUCUACCUCUGCUGUAUGUUGGAAACCACAUAACAGGACUGGCGGGUACAAAGAAGUUAAGUUUACCCAUGUUCACAGUCUUAAGGAAGUUCACCAUAUUGAUGACAAUGAUCAUGGAAGCAAGGAUAUUGAAAAAACAAAUCCCUAGUCGUCUGAUCUACAGUGUUUUGGCCAUCGUUUUUGGAGCAUUGGUGGCAGCAAGCUCUGACUUGGCCUUUGAUGCCGAGGGCUACACAUUCAUUCUGCUUAAUGAUGUCUUCACUGCUGCCAGUGGUGUGUACACCAAGAAGAAGCUGGGAACUGAGGUAGAACUUCCAGUUUUCAGAUUAAGAUGUUCUUUAACAGACACAGGAGACUACAUACAUAUUUCUAAGGCAGCUUGGAUGAAUCCAGGCAUCAUGUAUGUUUACAUUCCAGCCAUGUGAGGAAAGGUGAGGAGGGUCUUGGAAAAUAUGGGAUCUUAUUUUACAAUGCAUUCAUCAUUUUCAUUCCAACUCUUUUGGCUAGUGCUUUCACUGGGGAUUUACACAAGGCCAUUACAUAUGAACACUGGUUGAACACCCCCUUUGUUUCUUGCUUCCUUAUGUCCUGCAUCUUGGGGUUUGUGCUGAUGUAUUCAAUAGUGCUGUGUAGCCACUACAACUCAGCACUCACCACCACAGUGGUGGGAGCAAUUAAGAAUGUUGCUGUGGCCUACAUCGGCAUGUUUUUAGGUGGAGAUUACCUCUUUUCAUGGACAAACUUCCUGGGCUUGAAUAUAUGUAUAUCAGGGGGACUUGUGUAUUCCUACCUGACGUUCCACAGCAGCAGCAAACCAUCCCAAUGCAAUGGAAGCAGAAUCCAGAAAAAACUGGAUCAGCUGAAGAUUCCCAUUAUGGAAGAUUCCACAGACAGACUCCUUGUAAAAUAACUAUCUUUAUUUAACCUUUUAUUUUAUCAGGGUCCCAUUGAGACCAAGGCCUCUUUCAAGGGAGCUCUGCGUGAACACAAUUUGUAAGUGAAUACACCUGCGAUACAACUGGUCAUGAUGCCAUAGUUUAUUUUCUGUACUGUAAGCACAACCCUUUGUAACUGCUCCAUAUUGUAGCAGACGUUCUUACAUUUGAUGUUUUAAUGUAACUUUAUGAAAAAUUAUGAUCAUACUUUUGACAAUGUUUAUUAUUUGUGUUGCAAGUUGAAACCUGUCAUUUUUAUUGUGUUGUCAAGACAAGUGGUGUUAUACUAUACAUACUAGUACAUGUGUAAAUAGCAAUGGCCACUAGUGGUUACUAAGCAACCCGUGAAACCAAUGUGUGUACUGAGAGACAUACUGUAGUGUAUUGAGCUGUAUGUUCAAGGACAACUGAACUGCAGUGUAGUGAUGAUGAAGCUCUUACCAACCAUUAGCAUAGCAAUAAACUAGAAGGAAUGAACCCAUCUCCUGGAUCAUGA